UCAAGUCAACAUUGAGAGCCUGACUCUAGAU
rnacentral:piRNA from 1 species